UACGUAGGGUCCGAGCGUUGUCCGGAAUUAUUGGGCGUAAAGGGCUCGUAGGCGGUCCGUCACGUCGGGAGUGAAAACUCAGGGCUCAACCCUGAGCGUGCUUCCGAUACGGGCGGACUAGAGGUAUGCAGGGGAGAACGGAAUUCCUGGUGUAGCGGUGGAAUGCGCAGAUAUCAGGAGGAACACCGGUGGCGAAGGCGGUUCUCUGGGCAUUACCUGACGCUGAGGAGCGAAAGCGUGGGGAGCGAACAGG
rnacentral:rRNA from 1 species